rnacentral:misc_RNA from 1 species
AACUCUGUUACAUCAUUUACAAACAAUUUAAAACUCAUAAAAAUUAUUCAUUUGUUAAUACAAAAAUUUAAAUUCAUACAGUCCCUGACAUGAUUAAUAUUACUACUAGUACAUGCGGAGUUAUAAAUUACAAAUUUAGAUAAUAAUAAUACAGUUAAGUAAUUUUCUCCAUAACUUGCUAGGAAAAGAACAGGUUAUUCUGAAAAAUGUC